GAUGAAGAACGUAGCGAAAUGCGAUAAGUAAUGUGAAUUGCGGAAUUCAGUGAAUCAUCGAAUCUUUGAACGCACAUUGCGCCCGCCAGUAUUCUGGCGGGCAUGCCUGUUCGAGCGUCAUUACAACCCUCAGGCCCCCGGGCCUGGCGUUGGGGAUCGGCGGAAGCCCCCUGUGGGCACACGCCGUCCCUCAAAUACAGUGGCGGUCCCGCCGCAGCUUCCAUUGCGUAGUAGCUAACAGCUCGCAACUGGAGAGCGGCGCGGCCAUGCCGUAAAACACCCAACUUCUGAAUGUUGACCUCGAAUCAGGUAGGAAUACCCGCUGAACUUAAGCAUAUCAAUAAGCGGAGGA
rnacentral:misc_RNA from 1 species